AGAACGAACGCUGGCGGCGUGGAUAAGACAUGCAAGUCGAACGCGAUUUUAUGGGUAGUAAUACUCGUAAAAUUGAGUGGCGAACGGGUGCGUAACACGUGAGUAAUCUGCCGGGAAGUGGGGGAUAGCUCGCCGAAAGGCGAAUUAAUACCGCAUAUGGCCAUUCUCUAAUUGGAGGAAAAGCCAAAGCAGCAAUGCGCUUCCUGAUGAACUCGCGGCCUAUCAGCUAGAUGGCGGGGUAACGGCCCACCAUGGCUAUGACGGGUAGCUGGUCUGAGAGGACGACCAGCCACACUGGAACUGAGACACGGUCCAGACACCUACGGGUGGCAGCAGUCGAGAAUUUUUCACAAUGGGGGAAACCCUGAUGGAGCGACGCCGCGUGGAGGAUGAAGGCCUUCGGGUUGUAAACUCCUGUCAUGCGGGAACAAGAAGUGAUAGUACCGCAAGAGGAAGAGACGGCUAACUCUGUGCCAGCAGCCG
rnacentral:rRNA from 1 species